UUAUAUCAGUAAUUAUUUAUUUGAUGGUACCUUACUACAUGGNNNNNNCGUAGUAAUUCUAGAGCUAAUACAUGCGUAAAAUCCCGACUGCAAGGAAGGGAUGUAUUUAUUAGAUAAAAAAUCAAUGCAGGCAACUGCUUCAUUGGUGACUCAUAGUAACUGAUCGAAUCGCAUGGCUUUAUGCUGGCGAUAGUUCAUUCAAAUUUCUGCCCUAUCAGCUUUCGACGGUAGUGUAGUGGACUACCGUGGCGUUAACGGGUGACGGAGAAUUAGGGUUCGAUUCCGGAGAGGGAGCCUGAGAAACGGCUACCACAUCCAAGGAAGGCGGCAGGCGCGCAAAUUACCCAAUCCUGACACAGGGAGGUAGUGACAAGAAAUAACAAUACCGGGCCUUUCCAGGUCUGGUAAUUGGAAUGAGUACAAUUUAAAAACCUUAACUAGGAUCCAUUGGAGGGCAAGUCUGGUGCCAGCAGCCGCGGUAAUUCCAGCUCCAAUAGCGUAUAUUAAUGUUGCUGCAGUUAAAAAGCUCGUAGUUGGAUUUCUGACUUGGCGCACCUGGCCCGCCACGGUUACGUGUGUGAGUGCCGGGAUGCGCCUGUCACUUUUCUGGUAAACUAUUGUGCUCUUCAUUGAGUGUGAUAGGUAGCCAGAUAUUUUACUUUGAAAAAAUUAGAGUGUUUAAAGCAGGCGUUUGCUAUGAAUACAUUAGCAUGGAAUAAUAACUUAGGACUUCGGUUCUAUUUUGUUGGUUCCUAGGACUGAAGUAAUGAUUGAUAGGGAUAGUUGGGGGUGCUAGUAUUCAGCGGCCAGAGGUGAAAUUCUCGGAUUCGCUGAAGACUAACUUAUGCGAAAGCAUUCACCAAGGAUGUCUUCUUUAAUCAAGAACGAAAGUUGGGGGAUCGAAGACGAUCAGAUACCGUCGUAGUCUCAACCAUAAACUAUGCCGACUAGGGAUGAGUGAACGUUGCAUUCUCGACUUCAUUCGCACCUUAUGAGAAAUCAAAGUCCUUGGGUUCCGGGGGGAGUAUGGUCGCAAGGCUGAAACUUAAAGGAAUUGACGGAAGGGCACCACCAGGAGUGGAGCCUGCGGCUUAAUUUGACUCAACACGGGGAAACUUACCAGGUCCAGACUCAGUGAGGAUUGACAGAUUGAAGWUCUUUCUUGAUUCUAUGG
rnacentral:precursor_RNA from 1 species